rnacentral:ncRNA from 1 species
CAAUAGAGGCGCGGUACUCAUCAGUAAUCGGAACUACGUUUCAAAGAACGCCGACGAAAGGGAGCAUCGCCGAAGCCGUCCCGAGCGCUUUGGAGCAGGUUCGGCUGGGUAUGACGACGAAAGUCUCAUAACUGUCAUCGUUCGAUGGAGGGCUAUUUG